AAGGAUCAUCAAUGAGAUAAUAUACUAACGGUUUGACGCGGUACACGUCGUGGGCUGAGUUCCCAGGCUUUCGGGCCAGGUUCUCAGGUUGCGACGCCGUGCCGUCUCAUUCCUCAUACAAAUCCAUUUCUGUCUGAUACAUUAAUAUAAUUAAAAAUACAACUUUCAACAAUGGAUCUCUUGGUUCCC
rnacentral:misc_RNA from 1 species